UUGUGCAAUGCACCGGAAGCAGGAAAAGUGUGUGACUCGCAUGAAGCCGGAAGCGGGAAGCGAGCGCGAUUAUGGAGAACUCGCGUGGCGUUGUGCCGGCUCUGCCCAAACAUUCAUACUGGUUCGACUUCUGGAUGUUUCUGCUGUUUGAUGUCGUUCUUUUCCUCAUCUUUUACUUCGCCAUUCCCUGAGCGCGGUCGGUCUCCUGUCCGGUUCACCGUGAGCGCCCGAUCCUCAGAUGAUAUGGACAGGACUGCAGCGGCCGCUGGACGCGGAUCAAGACCGGCUUUCGUCCUGAACUCUAAACACGUCCUGCUUCUCUGCAAACACACUGAAACCAAAAUAUAAAGUAACCUAAAAUAUGAAACUGUCCCUUCAUGGUUCCACUGUGAGGAAGAAAUGACAAGAAGAUUCACGUUCAUCUGUCUGGAUGCUUUAUACACAUUAUCCUGUAACGUAUGACUGAAUAUUAGCCAUUGAAGUGUGUGUGAGAUGCAUGCAUGUAUGAGAAACUGAAUUAUUAAAUCUGUGUGACUUUUAAAUGCUUUUCUUUUCUUUAUAUGAAACAGAAUAAACUAUGGAAGCCAGUUUCUGCCACUGAAUAAACAAUAAAAAGGUUUCCUUACACUUGCGAGAAAUAAAGUCCACUUCUGAGGAGAAAAAAAAGACUGAUAUCUUCUCAGAAUUGCGAGUUUAUAUCUCACAAAAAAAAGAACAAAAAAAGUCAGAAUUGUGAGAGAAAAAGUUGCAAUUACUUUUUAUUUAUUUAUUUUUUAAUUCAGUGGUGGAAACGGGCUUCCAUAAUAAACAGACCAAAACAGCAAUACAAUAAAUUAAUAAACUUAUUAUGGAAGAGAAUGACCAAUUUGUGCUUAUUUUAAGGAAGUAAGUCAUAUGGUGUGAAGUGAGGAUGAGUAAAUUAGUUUUUAAUUUUGUAGUGAAUUAAUCCAAGAAAAAUAAAACCUAUUUUUAGAA